CCAUUUUAAUCUGCUCUCAUUAUUAUAUUUAUUUUCCUAUUUUUUCAUAUAUUUCUCCAUGUAUUGUCUCUGUCUCUCUUGGUUCCUUAUUCUUCAACAAUUCAAGGCUUACAAACGCAUCUUUCUCAUUUUCUCUCAAACAUUAACAACCCAUAACUUCUUACCUCAUUAUUUAAUUUAUUUUCCUUUUCUUUCAUAUCUUUCCGUGAUCUCAUAUUCUUAAGCUUUUCGGGGCUUGAACACACACACACACACACACACACACACACACACACACACACACACACACACACACACACACACACAUCUUUCUCAUUUACUCCUCUUAAUAAGGCAACAUUAGCAAAUCAUUUUUUCUUCUCCUCUCGGUAUUUUACUUAUCAUCCUCCUCCUCCUAUUCAUAUCUUUCUCCUCUAAAACAAAGAGUAGCAAUCUCGUGUUAUAAGCCCCACUCCCUUUAACAGACUGACUGAGGUUGUUGUGUUAGUAUUUCCAUGGGUAGUGUUAUGAGCCUAGUGAUAGUGUGACAAGGCUUUAGUAGAGGUUGUUGUGUUAGUAUUUCCAUGGGUAGUGUUAUGAGCCCGGUGAUAGUUUGACAAGGCUUUGGUAGAGGUUGUUGUGUUAGUAUUUCCAUGGGUAGUUUUAUGAGCCUAGUGAUAGUUUGACAAGGCUUUGGUAGAGGUUGUUGUGUUAGUAUUUCCAUGGGUAGUUUUAUGAGCCUAGUGAUAGUUUGACAAGGCUUUGGUAGAGGUUGUUGUGUUAGUAUUUCCAUGGGUAGUGUUAUGAGCCCGGUGAUAGUUUGACAAGGCUUUGGUAGAGGUUGUUGUGUUAGUAUUUCCAUGGGUAGUGUUAUGAGCCUAGUGAUAGUGUGACAAGGCUUUGGUAGAGGUUGUUGUGUUAGUAUUUCCAUGGGUAGUGUUAUGAGCCUAGUGAUAGUUUGACAAGGCUUUGGUAGAGGUUGUUGUGUUAGUAUUUCCAUGGGUGGUUUUAUGGGCCUGGUGAUAGUU